rnacentral:siRNA from 1 species
UCUCUCCCGACGGAUGGAAUGACU